rnacentral:lncRNA from 1 species
GGCCAGCCAGGGCUACAUAGUGAGAAGCUGUCUGAGACCACAAAAACAAAACAAAACAAAAUGAAAAUAACUUUCCUCUGCAAAACUGUUAUUACGACAGGCCUUAUGGACAGAGAGCCGGAUCAGUUGGCAAAGUGCUUGCCAUGCACCAGAGUUCCAUCCUCAGACUCCAUGAAAAACGCCACACGCCUGUAAUCUCAGCACUGUGCAGGCAGAGGAGGAGCUCAGGCUCUGCAGUCCAGAACAACCGGCACACUCCAGAUCAGGGAGAAACUGGUCUAAAAGACGUUUUUCACUCCAGGGGCUCGGAUGCCCUCUCUGGGCAUCCUUGGGCACAAGGCACACAUGUGGGGCACAGAAAUACAUACAGGCAAAAGACCUGCAACACAUAAAAUACAAAUUAAAAACAAACAAAAAAAAA